UGUGGGAUGGAGAAGUGGCAUCUCGUUAGGCUCAUAACCUAAAGAACGGCAGUUCGAAUCUGUCUCCCGCAA
rnacentral:tRNA from 1 species